rnacentral:tRNA from 1 species
GGCUGAGUGGCAGAAUGGCCAUGCAGCGGACUGCAACUCCGUUUACACCGGUUCGAUUCCGGUCUCAGCCUCCA